rnacentral:rRNA from 1 species
AUUAAACGCUGGCGGCAUGCCUUACACAUGCAAGUCGAACGGCAGCACGGGGCAACCUGGUGGCGAGUGGCGAACGGGUGAGUAAAGCAUCGGAACGUGCCCUGGAGUGGGGGAUAACGUAGCGAAAGUUACGCUAAUACCGCAUAUUCUGUGAGCAGGAAAGCAGGGGAUCGCAAGACCUUGCGCUCUGGGAGCGGCCGAUGUCGGAUUAGCUAGUUGGUGGGGUAAAGGCCUACCAAGGCGACGAUCCGUAGCGGGUCUGAGAGGAUGAUCCGCCACACUGGGACUGAGACACGGCCCAGACUCCUACGGGAGGCAGCAGUGGGGAAUUUUGGGACAAUGGGCGGAAGCCUGAUCCAGCCAUGCCGCGUGAGUGAAGAAGGCCU